UACGAAGGGGGCUAGCGUUGUUCGGAAUUACUGGGCGUAAAGCGCACGUAGGCGGACUCUUAAGUCGGUGGUGAAAUCCUGGAGCUCAACUCCAGAACUGCCUUCGAUACUGAGAGUCUCGAGUCCGAGAGAGGUGAGUGGAACUGCGAGUGUAGAGGUGAAAUUCGUAGAUAUUCGCAAGAACACCAGUGGCGAAGGCGGCUCACUGGCCCGAUACUGACGCUGAGGCACGAAAGCGUGGGGAGCAAACAGG
rnacentral:rRNA from 1 species